rnacentral:rRNA from 1 species
UACAUAGGGUGCAAGCGUUGUCCGGAAUUAUUGGGCGUAAAGAGCUCGUAGGUGGUUCGUCACGUCGGAUGUGAAACUCUGGGGCUUAACCCCAGACCUGCAUUCGAUACGGGCGAGCUUGAGUAUGGUAGGGGAGUCUGGAAUUCCUGGUGUAGCGGUGGAAUGCGCAGAUAUCAGGAGGAGCACCAAUGGCGAAGGCAGGACUCUGGGCCAUUACUGACACUGAGGAGCGAAAAGCGUGGGGAGCGAACAGG